rnacentral:rRNA from 1 species
AACGUAGGUGGCGAGGCGUUAUCCGGAUUUACUGGGCGUAAAGGGUGUGCAGGCGGGCUGGUUAAGUGGUGCAUGAAAUCUCCGCGACUUAACGUGGAGAGGCUGUGCCAGACUGGCAGUCUAGAGUACGAGGAGAGGGUUGUGGAAUUCCGGGUGUAGUGGUGAAAUGCGCAGAUAUCAGGAAGAACACCCGUGGCGAAAGCGGCGCUCUGGAACGGUACUGACGCUGAGACGCGAAAGCGUGGGGAGCGAACAGG